AUAUAAAAUUCAAUUUCAAAAGUUAAAAACUAAAGUUUAAAACUUACCAAAAAAAACAUACCAAUCCCCGUGUAUUUUUUUUAUUUUGUUUCUUUUUUUUUUUUUUUUUUUUUCAAACUUUUUCGUUUUCUCUAAUCCCCUGCCCAACACACACGUCUGAAUAUAGUCAACGUCAAAAUAAUAAAUGCAACGCACCGCAAUCUCUUCGUCUCGUCAAUUACAAAAAAGGAUGUGGAAGAGAAGCUUGUUUUAAUGAUAAACAAUAAACGAACUUUAUAUUAUUAUUAUUAUUAUUAUUAUUAUUAUUAUUAUUAUUAUUAUUAUCAGACGCACUCAUUAACAUGUCUAAUUAAAUUAAUCUAAAAAAAUUAAUUUAAUUAACUUAACUUAAAUAUUUACUUAAAAAAAAUUAAGUAAGGGGAUUACGCCUUAUUUUUUGUGUCAAUUAUCAAAUAAUUUUGUUGUUUUUUUUUUUUAAUAAAAUUAAUUAAUUAUUAUUAUUAUUCUUACUCUCACGGCAAAUUUUCGUACGUUUUAACGUACCGCCGUUUAUAAAAAUACGUGAGAUGAUUCUAAAAGAAAAUUAAGUAAAAAAAAGUACAUUAAUAUAUAUUAAUAAUAAAAAUAUAUAAAUAUAUCUUUAAUCAAUAUAUAUUAGCCAAAUUAUAUAAACUAAAGAAUAAUAAAUAAAGAAAAGAAUUUAUCAAAAUUUACCAAAAUAAUGCAGUAUUUUGACAGGUUUAUUUAACAAACAUUUAGUUUAUAUAAAAUAAAUAAAUAAUUAUUUUAUAAUUUUUUUCUUUAUAAAAUACGUACUAUAUAUGACUAAUAUAUUUAUUUAUAUAUAUAUAUUAAAUAUAUAUAUUAGUUGAAGUAAAGAAAAAAAAAAUAAAUAGCGUGCGGGUGAAAUACCAAAGACUUGAUAGCACGAUUGAUUUGUGUGAUACAAUAAAUAACGCACUUUGACUUAAAAAGAUACAAAUAAAUAUUAAAUAAAUAAAAUAAUAAAUAAACCCCUCCCUAUAUCCAAGCACAAAUUAAUUGAUAAAGUAAUAAAUUAAUUUGUCAGUAGCUUGGGGAAAGUAUUACAUAAUAGUUAAUUAAACUUAUUAAAGUAAAAAUUUAUUAAUUCAUGUAUUUUCUUUUUUUGUUUGUUAUUAUUAUAAUUAUUAACUUUAUUGACAUUGUUUCAUUUUUGUUUAUUGUUUAAAACAAAAUAUGUUUGUAGACUUAAGUGUCCAAAGUUUAGCAUUUUAAUAUAUGCGUCCAUGUAUUAAUUCACUUAUGUUUAGUUUUGUUAUUAGAUCAUUUUUGUUUUAUUUGUUAUUAUGAUUAUUAUUAUUAUAAGACACCUUGUUGUAAGGUUUAUUAGUGCUCGUGGUUACUUUGUGAAAAUUGUGGUAUCUGAUGAUUUUCUUAAAUCUUAAAGAUAUAUUUAAUGUAAGGAUAUUUAUUUGCUGAGUACUUAAAACUCUUAAAAUAUCUGAUGCAAAGAUAAUUUUACUUAAAGCCGUAUCUGAUAAUUAUAUGACGAAGAUAUUUUAAAUGCAUGUUAGUUGAGUAAUAGUUCUUGUAUAUGGUUUCGAAGGAUUUUAAACCGAGGAUGUUUAUAUUAUAUCACUACUUUUAGAUGCAUUUUAAUGGAUAGAGAAUUUUUAGUUUUAAUGAGCCAUAUAAUAGAUAUUUUGUAUCUGAUUCAUAUUUUUAUUACAUCGUAUAUUUAUAUGAUAAUCUGCCAAAGUAUAUCAAUUAGUACUUAUCAUCUUAUAUGGAUUAGAUACAGUAUAUGAUUCAGAGAAUUUUAUUCAUAUAUAAGUCAGAUAUGGUUUUAAUUGUCAGAUAAUAUCAGGUAUUAUUUGUAAGAUAGCAUCAGAUAUUAUCAGAUGAUUUUGAUGAUCAAAUAGUAUCAGAUGUAAUUUAUCAGAUACUGUUAACCAGAUAAUAUCAGAUAUGAUUUUGAGGAUCAAAUAGUGUCAAAUAUUAUUAUAUGUUAUUGAUCAAAAAUAACUGAUCAGAUAUAGAUUGAAAAAUCAUAUAAUAUCAGAUAUUUUUUUGAUUAUCAUAUGGUAUCAGAUAUUGUGUUGAUUAUCAUAUGGUAUCAGAUAUUGUUUUGAUGAUCAAAUCAUGUCAGUUACUACUAUGUAUCAAUUAUCAGAUAUAGUUUGAAAAAAUCACAUAACAUCAGAUAUUGAUUUUAUCAUCUUAUAGUAUCAGAUAUUUUGAUCAUCAUAUAGUAUCAGAUAUUGUUUUGAUAAUCAAAUAAUAUUGAUUUGAUCAUCAUAUAUUAUCAAAUAAAGUUUUAACCAUCAUAUAGUAUCAGAUAUACCA
rnacentral:lncRNA from 1 species